UACAGAGGGGGCAAGCGUUGUUCGGAAUUACUGGGCGUAAAGGGCGCGUAGGCGGCCGCCUAAGUCAGACGUGAAAUCCCUCGGCUCAACCGGGGAACUGCGUCUGAUACUGGGUGGCUUGAAUCCGGGAGAGGGAUGUGGAAUUCCAGGUGUAGCGGUGAAAUGCGUAGAUAUCUGGAGGAACACCGGUGGCGAAGGCGGCAGCCUGGGCCGGCACUGACGCUGAGGAGCGAAAGCGAGGGGAGCAAACGGG
rnacentral:rRNA from 1 species